rnacentral:rRNA from 1 species
UACGUAGGGGGCAAGCGUUGUCCGGAUUUAUUGGGCGUAAAGAGCGUGUAGGCGGCCAUACAGGUCCGUUGUGAAAACUGGAGGCUUAACCUCCAGACGUCGAUGGAAACCGUAUGGCUAGAGUCCGGAAGGGGCGAGUGGAAUUCCUGGUGUAGCGGUGAAAUGCGCAGAUAUCAGGAGGAACACCAAUGGCGAAGGCAGCUCGCUGGGACGGUACUGACGCUGAGGCGCGAAAGCGUGGGGAGCGAACAGG